AGUGAUGCUGAUGAUGAAGGAAGCCAAUAGCAAACUUCUUGUGGCUACGAACAGAAACUGAAUAUAAGGCCUAUAUGGCGGGCAAGGUUGCAAAUCAAACCAAAGCCCUAAAGGGUAUGACGUAUAUGCCAGCAUAGGUAAAUUCAGAG
rnacentral:ncRNA from 1 species